rnacentral:rRNA from 1 species
UACGUAGGGGGCAAGCGUUAUCCGGAUUUACUGGGUGUAAAGGGAGCGCAGACGGAACUGCAAGUCUGAUGUGAAAGCCCGGGGCUCAACCGCGGGACUGCAUCGGAUACUGUGGAUCUGGAGUGCCGGAGGGGCAAGCGGAAUUCCUGGUGUAGCGGUGAAAUGCGUAGAUAUCAGGAGGAACACCGGCGGCGAAGGCGGCUUGCUGGACGGCAACUGACGUUGAGGCUCGAAAGCGUGGGGAGCAAACAGGAUUAGAUACCCGGGUAGU